CACUCCAUUCUGUUAGGAAAAUGUUGCGGUGUCUUCAUCUCGCUUCCUAUAUGAGCUGCCUGCGUGCGUCUUUCUCGGCUGGUGUCUGACUCUGACUAUGAGGAUUCAAAUGAUGAUGAUGGUGAUGAUGAAGGAGAGAGCUCAGACUGGGUCAAGCUCACGUCCCCUGACAGCACUCGCGGCGCCCGGUUCCCCGUCCAGCUGUGCUGUAAUGCGCUCCAGUAGCUGUUCUGAUCUAGUGGGAUUGGAUGGAAACUCUGCUCGAUAGCAGCAGGAUUUCUGGGGUUUUACGAGGAUCUCGGCGAAGACCGGUAUCUGAGGCGCUGAGAGACAACUGGGAGGGGAAGGGAGUUGUGUAGACGGACCAUGCACCUCCGAACCACAAGAGUGCAUCUGUGGUUUGUCCAGCGCUGCAUUCGAGCUGCAAUAAAAGACAAACUGAUCCAAUGACUCCCUCAAGG